UACGUAGGGUGCGAGCGUUAAUCGGAAUUACUGGGCGUAAAGCGUGCGCAGGCGGUUUUGUAAGCCAGAUGUGAAAGCCCCGGGCUUAACCUGGGAAUGGCAUUUGGGACUGCAAGGCUUGAGUGUGGCAGAGGAGACUGGAAUUCCGGGUGUAGCGGUGGAAUGCGUAGAGAUCCGGAAGAACACCGGUGGCGAAGGCGGCCUGCUGGGCAGUAGCUGACGCUGAGGCGCGACAGCGUGGGGAGCAAACAGG
rnacentral:rRNA from 1 species